rnacentral:rRNA from 1 species
AAUUAGUUUAAUAAACAAGCAAAGUGUGUAAUUUUUUAAUUAUUAAUUGUAGAGGGGACUAUAAUUUAUAAUUACAAGAAGACUAUUUUGUUGUACCUUUUGUAUCAGGGUUAAUUUAAGCUAAGUUCUUAAGAACUUUCCUCGAAGAGGAAAGAUUUAAGUGAAUAAAAGUGUAUUUGUUUAAUAAAAAAAUCUUAAUAUUUGCUUAGAUUUGAUAAGAAAAUCGAUUUUCUAUUUCUAGUUACUUUAAUUUUGAUUAAGUCAAUGAUUUUAAAGCAUAAAUUGUUUUUAAAAUGAAAUUUUUUAAAGGAUAAUCUUUGAGAAAGUAUUAUAGUUAAAGAUGUUUAUCUAAAAAUUAAAUUUAAAAUUUGUUAAUUUGUUUAUGUAAAAAUUAAUUAGAUUAUAAUUAAUAUUUUAAUAUCUAGCUUUAGAGGGGAGCUAAAGUUAUAUAAUAAAAUAUUAUAUUUAUAAUAAUAAUGAUUAAAUUAGUAGAACAAAAAAUUAAUUAUAGGAAUUCGGCAAGUUUAACUUUUGACUGUUUACCAAAAACAUUUCUGAGGGGAAGAUGUUUUUGGUCUAACCUGCUCAAUGCUUAAGUAAAUAGCUGCAGUAUUAUGACUGUACAAAGGUAGCAUAAUCACUAGUCUUUUAAUUGGAGGCUUGUAUGAAUGGUUGAACAGAAUGUUUACUUUCUUUAUUUAAUGAUAGUUGAAUUUUAAUUUUAUGUAAAAAUGCGUAAAUUUUAAAAAGGGACGAUAAGACCCUAUAGAAUUUAAAAUUGUGAGUGAAAAAGAAAUUUUUGGUUGGGGUGACUGAGAAUUAACUUUUUUUUAAAUAAUUUAUUGUAAAGUAAAUGUAUGAUCCUAAUUUUUAGAUAGUAAGAUUUAAUUACCUUAGGGAUAACAGCGUAAUUUUUCUUUUAAGGCCAUAUUUAUAGAAAAGAUUACGACCUCGAUGUUGAAUUAAAAUUAUUUUUUGGUGAAGAAGCUAAAAUUGUGAGUCUGUUCGACUUUAAUUUUUACAUGAUUUGAGUUCAGACCGGCGUGAGCCAGGUUGGUUUCUAUCUUUUUUAAUUCAAAUUUCUUUAGUACGAAAGGAUCAAUUAAUUUAAUUUUUAUUUAGUAGGUUUGAAUAACAUUAAAUCU